CCUAUGGCAAAAGAGAUUAGGUUACAUAUGUGGGAAAUUUAAGCAGAAUAUUCAGUGAAAACUCCACAAAUAUUUCUCUUGAUUACUACCAAGUCUUGAGCUUUUUAUAAGAUGCCAAUUUUUAGUUCUGAGACAAAGCUCCAGACCUUAAUACUUCCUCCCUUGCUUCUCCAGGGCUAUGAUCAUAGAUAUGCACCACCAUGCCUGGCUAUGCAUCAUAUUUUUAAUGAAUUCUUAAUUAUUCAUCCAUUCUUACCUUUUCCUCAGUAACUAGCAAAUUGCUAUAUGCUAUACUAUACUCUAGAGACAUCAGAAUCCCAGAGAGACAGGAUGUGGUUGUACCAGUAGUAGUAGUAGUAGACCCAGAGAGCUGCACCAGUACCUAGAUAUAGAGUCUAAGCAGCUUGCUAAAGAUGCAUGGCCUUGAAGGGGGAGAGAAUUUUGGAUAGUCCAGGAGUAAACAAGUUGAGUGGGGCACUGGACACAGCUCUACAGUUACUGGGUCCAAAUUGUGGAAUGUCUUGAAAGCUAAGCUGUAAAGAGCUUGAUCUCACAGGUCACAGAGUGUACUUGUACAUUACUGAGAAGUAAAGAUGGUCCAACCCAUCAAACUAUAGGUGGGAGUGACAGAAAAAAAAAUUGGUAGACUGGAUACACAUUAGGUCAGUGGUAGAUUACAUGCCUAAUAAGUAUGAGUUGAUACAUGCUGGGUCUGAUAUAACAAAGAAAAGAAGGAAAAAAAAAACCCAAAGUAUUCUCCACAGAAUGAAUACAAAGAAUUUUCAAAGGUGUGGUAGCAUGCUAAUAAUCUUAAGUAACCUUGAAAACCAGUUCCUCUUUCUUUGUAUUGUAUGCUGACACUGAUGUAUUCAUUGAGGUAAAUUUUAACCAGCAUUUUUUCCCUCUCCUAGACAAAAGGAGCUCAUAGUAUUACUGUCCAUGUAGCCUGAUAAAGCAAAACAGGAACUGAGGAAGCAAGAGCACAACGGAUGUGUAAAGGAUGCAUACUCAACAGUGUGGGGUUUAUCAGUAAGGCUUCCCAAUUCAGCUUUAAAUGCUAUAAAGGAGAUAACUACAAGGGAGAAGAAAGUGUUGGCAGAGAGAACUUGAUAUUUAGAGGCCUGAGGUCUGAACGACAGGUUCUAAACUGGAAUAUGUGGUAUGUAAGGCAUGAAGGGCAAACAGGAGUGAACAUGAGCAGAACAAUCCACAUGGGAGAUCGAGGCAGAAAGAUUGUGAGUUUAAUGGCAGCCUAUGUUAUAUAGAAAGACAGUGUGUCUUGUGUUUUUCCAAACUAAAUACGUUGCCAAUGAUAGCCUUAACUCCAUUACCUUCCUGCCCCCACUUUCCCAGUACUGCCAUGCUUGGCCUGUGAAGGACUGGACUGUGAAUGAACAAAUGGGUCAAACUGUGUAAAGAAAUGCCUGUACAGUACCUGGGAUUGUAUGAAGGAAGGACUGCUGAAGUCAAGUCAGCUGAAAUAAAAACCUACUCCUGGAGAGAGGACAGAAGUUAUCACAGCAGUAAUCAAGACUUGGACCCAAGAAGUCUGGUUCCUAGGAGCAACCUUCAUACAUGUAUGUCCUUGUGGCUGCCUUCGACACUUUGCUUACUUCACGUUUUAAGGGAGGGUCUCACUUGAACCCAGAGCUGAUUUGACUACUUUAGCUGCCUUAAUUUGGGAACCCUAUUUCUGUGUUGGGGCUAUAGGCAGGUGUCAUGCCCACUCAACAUUUACCCUGUCUCAGAAAAACAAACUCUGAAGGGAACAAUUUUUUUUCUUUUCUUCUGUCUCUUCUUGAGACGGGGUUUCUCUGUAUAGCCUUGGCUGUCCUACAACUAGCUUUGUGGACCAGGCUGGCCUUGAAUUCAGAGAUCCAUCUGCCUCCUGGGAUCCAAGGUGUGUGCCACUGCUGCCUAGAUUUCCAAUAUUUGAUGUACACCAAAAUUUCCUGUACAGUUGUUUUCUUCAACCACUAUCCCAAAAUGCACUCAGCUUUCCAGACUUGGUGCUGCACAUGCACCAUCUGAAGCACAGCGCAAACAUCUUUAUCUUUUGAUUUAUUGAGACAGGGUUUCUCUUUUUUUUUUUUUUUUGGUUCUUUUUUUUCCGGAGCUGGGGACCGAACCCAGGGCCUUGCGCUUCCUAGGUAAGCGCUCUACCACUGAGCUAAAUCCCCAGCCCCAGGGUUUCUCUUUUUAACAGUCCUGGCUAUCCUAGAACUCACUCUGUAGACCAGGCUAGCCUCAAUUUUAGAGAUGUCUGCCUCUGCUGGAAUUAAAGUUGUGUGCCACCAUGCCCAGCUAAACAUCUUUAUUUUUUUUAAAGAUUUAUUUAUUAUGUAUAUAAGUACACUGUAGCUGUCUUCAGACACACCAGAAGAAGACAUCAGAUCUCAUUACAGAUGGUUGUGAGCCACCAUGUGGUUGCUGGGAUUUGAACUCAGGACCUCUGGAAGAGCAGUCAUCACUCUUAAGUACUGAGCCACCUCUCCAACCCCAACAUCUUUAUUUUUAAAACUGUUCCCCCAAAUGAUUCUAAUGUUCACCAGAGAUUAGGAAGGGCUAGCUAACUCUGAAAGACACCAAGCAGAGUUUGUUUUUUCAGAUUAAGUUUUAUGAUUGUGCAGCUAGGGAAGUUCAUGUGGUGGUGCUGUGUGUCUGUGUCUGUGUGUGUGUGUGUGUGUGUGUGUGUGUGUGUGUGUGUGUGUGUGUGUGUGUGUGUGUGUGUGUAGUCAGUUUUAAAUUUAUGUAGGUUCUAGAGCUCAAACUCAGUCAGGGUGCCAGGCAUGUUAAACAAGUGACUUUACUCUUGCAGCACUGGAAGGCUUUUGUUUUGUAGAUACGGCCUUCUGGCCUUACCCGUUUCCCAAGUGCUGGAACUGUAGGCAUGUGCCAUCACAUCCAACUCACAGCCUUACAAUUUCUAAUGGAAAGCAGCUAGUCCCACCCUUUCCUAACGUGUAGUCUGCUGGCUUCAGAACAGGCUCCAGUUCUCAUUCAUAUACUUGACCUCUUUCCUUCUCUAUGAUAUAGUUAUUAAGAUAUAGCUAUUAUCACCUGCUUUAUGGUGAAGAUUGCUACAUGGAUCAAAUAAGAUGAAGGCACUUUAAAAGACAAAGUGUUGGGGCUGGAGAGAUGGCUCAGCGGUUAAGAGCACCCGACUGCUCUUCCAGAGGUCACGAGUUCAAUUCCCAGCAACCACAUGGUGGCUCACAACCAUCUGUAAAGAGUUCUGAUGCCCUCUUCUGGUGUAUCUGAAGACAGCUACAGUGUACUUAUAUAUAAUAAAUAAAUAAAUCUUUAAAAAAAAAAAAGACAAAGUGUUAGCUGGCACAGCAGCUCAUUAUCAAUCAUGAGGGAUACAACAAAACACUGUUCUCUGACCCUUAACUAACCCAUGUCAAUCUUCCCUACCAGAGCCACACUCUCAAUUCAAAUCAGGAGUUAGGCCCCUAGUAUCCUCAGGCGAAAGUCUGGCCUUUUGUGCUAGGCUCUGCCUGCUUUGUUAAUAUUUAGGAGUACUUUCAUGCUUGAGUCAACCUACAUAUCUUGUUUACCUGCAGGACACUGGGGAAGCAAGAAAACUUAGCUGGUAACAAAUCAAACCUCUCUUCUCCCCCUUUUGAAUAUUGGGCAUUGAAUCUAAAGCCUUCUGCAUGUUAGACAACAAAUUUUAAAAUUUUAAAAUUUUGCUUAUGUGUAUAACUGUACAACUUGCCUGGUGUGAAGAGUCAGAAAGGGCCACUACGUAGGUGCUAGGAAUUGAACUUGAGUACUCUCAAAGAUCAACAAAUACCCUUGAACAACACAUUUUAACACUGGACAUUUCUCUACACUCUGCUUAGUUUUAAGUGGUAGCAAAGGGUGUUCUUGAGUCCUCAGGCCUCACUAGCACUUUCCCUGCAUAUUUGUUGGCCUGCAUACUGGUUUUGAUUUUUAGGAUAAGAUCUUGCUUUGUAGCUCAGGCUUGCUUCAAUCCUGCCUCAGCAUACUGGGAAUGCAGGCAUGUAGGUAGCUUAACACACACAAGCUUGGAGACUGUUUACGAAGCUGAGCGUGGAGGCAGAUGGCUUUAAUCCUGGGCAGAAACAAGCAAAUCUCUGGGUUCCAGGCUAGCCUGAGCUACAUAAUGAGAUCCUGUUUCAAACAAUGUCAAUAAACCCUCAUCUUUAAAGGUAAGUUAUAUGGCCAUGAAAAAUAUGGACAAGAGUGUGACCCUAGCUACUUGGCUGUUUCUGCCGCAAGGGAUAAUGAACACGUAGCUAAAACAGCUGGACUUUUUCAGAUCAGUUGAUAAAAGUGUAAUACCUCAAAUGUGGUAACUACAUGAGCAGCAUGGCAAAAUUAAUAGAAACAAAUACUCCAGAGCCAAAUUGCUUCAAGCUAGGUUUAGCAUGUACUAACUAUAGGAAGACCUACUAAUCAUCUGUAAAAACUAUUCUAACACAGUAAUUGUGAACUAUAAAUAUAUAGUUCUAAUGGCUUUCUCAAAGACCUCUCAUGAAUUAUUACACAGAAGUUAUUUUAUUCCAUUGCUACUUUUAAAAUAUGUGCAAAAAAAUUGAUGCUGAAACAUACCUGAGAAAUCUAGUUCAAGUAACUCAUUUUGUGGACUAGAGUACAAGUAUACAAACUGAAUUAAACACCCUCUUGUGGGGGUAACGGGAAUGACACACUGCCAGUGAGAUGACAUUUGUCCACUUUGGCCUGUCCUCCAUGAGCUCACAGCUCAAACACUGAUAGUGAUGGGAAUAUGUGUACAAAUGAGGAAGGGCCAAAUACUUGUUAGUAUUAAUAGAUGUUCACAGACUUUGUCCAUUUUUCUUCUGUCCGAUUUUAUUUAUUUGCUGUUGUUGAGGUUUGAGGUUUUGUUGCCAGGGCUGGUCCCAAGAUUGAAUUCCUUAUCCUUCCCACCUCUCCCUCCCUAAGUGUAGUGAUUACAGGUACACUUCCAAUACAUCCCCAUUUCCCCUCAGAGUUUAAGUUUUUAUGUGUAUAGGGGUUUUGCUUUCAUUUAUGUCUCUGUCCAGUGCCUGAGGAAGUAAGAAAAGGGUUUGGAUCCUUGGGGCUAAACUUACAGACAACUGUAAUAUAUUAUGUGCAUGCUAGAAACUAAACACGGCUCUUUUGGAAGAGUGGCCAGCACUCUCAAACACUGAGGCAUCUCUCCACCCUUCAAAAGCUCCAUUUUAAUUUGACUUUCUGACUCUGCAUGUGACUUUACUUUCACAAUGAUUUUUUUUUGCUCGAUAAGGAAAGUACACUUGAUCCUGUCAUGAACACAUUAAGCACACGUGGAACUACCACAGGCUGGUCCUGUUGACAUAUAUUUAUUUUGGAUGAUCUCAUAAAGGUGAUAGUUCUCAUAGCAUGAAUCCCUUGCAGUCAGCCUAGGCACAUAUUGUGCUCCCCAACUUUCUUGGUAUAAAGGUAACAAUCCUAUCUCUAGGAGUUCAGAUAACCUAGUUUUGUUAGAAGGUUAGAACAAUAAUAUGUCAAAUUCUAGACUAUUCUGUAUCCCUGGAAGAGGGAAAAAAAGACAGAAAAAUGAUUUAGAACUAAAAAUCAGGUAAUAGGCCAACUCUGGAGUAUGUGUAUAAUGUUAUACACAUAUUGGUUUUUAUGACAAUGAGACAAAUUUGAGCAUUAUUCUAUGCAUUUAAAUGUUUUUAUUCUUUCAAGAUGUAGCCUUGUACCACCAAACCCAACAACAUAUUUUUAGAAUGAUUUUAGUAUUUGAAAUACAAGAUGUAACAAUCCUGUUAUUGGCUAUUAUUUUCCUAAUCUAGAGAGGGACCCCCGGACCUUGCAUAUGCUAGGAAAAUGCUCUACUUCUAAGCCAGACCUUUAUCUUAUGAAUGCUUCAAUUGUUUCUAGUGUUUUUGACAUUAAACCUAAUAAAUCUUAAUACGCCAGUCUGAUCUACACAGUGUGACCCUGUGUCACAGAAAAACAGUACUUCAUGAUUUUGUUUAUGAAGCACCCAUGCUAACCUAUGUAUUAUUCCAAUUUUAGUAUAGUUGUUGCUGAUUUCUAGUCAAAGGGCCUGGGUAUUUCAAAGGCUCUUGACUUACAUAACUAGACUGCCCACUAAAGAAUUAUAACAGAGCCAGGUGUGCUGGUACAAACCUUUAAUCCCAGAACUUGGGAAGCAGAGACAGGAGGAUCUCUGUGAGCUUGGUAGAGCCAGCCUGGUCCAGUACUAUAUAGUUAAGAUCCUGGCUUAACAAGUAAAUGGAUGGAUGGAUGGAUGGAUGGAUGGAUGGAUGGAUGGAUGGAUGGAUGGAUAAUAAAUAUUGUGACAGUUUGUUCCAAUCAAUAUAAAGCUUUAAGGCACAAAUUUCAGGUGUCUGUUUGAUAUCUGAAUGACAUUCUGUAACCAAAAAAAGGUUUACAAACAUGAGGUAAAAUUCUACUAUUCCACAUACUAUUAUGACAUUGAAUGUUUUUUACUUCACAGGGGUUUUUUGAAGUCAGGGUCUCAGUCUUACACAGUGAAGGCUGGCCUUGAAACUUGCUAUGUAGCUAAGGACGAUCUUGAACUUCUGAUCAACUUUUCUUCUCCUAUUCUGGGGACAGACAGGCUGACUACUACAGAACCAGGAAUAUCCUCUCCCUUGUCCUAUACACUCUUCACACAGAUCAGGGUACACAACGAGUAGCUUCAACCACUGAUGACUAGUCCUUAAUCAUUUUUAUUCUUUAAUUUUAUGUGUAUGAUUGUUCUGCCUACAUGUAUAUCUAUGUAUCAUGUACAUGCCUGGUGCUCAGUGAGGCGGGAAAAGGGCAUUGGAUUUCUUAGAGGUAGCGUUACAGACAGUUGUGAGGUGCCAUGAAGGUGCUGGGAACCACACCUAGGUUAUCUGUAAAAGCAGUCAGUGCUCUUGACUGCUGAACCGUGUUCCUCCAGACCCUCCCCUCUUAAUCCUUUUGUAUAGCUUCUCAUAAGCUAGAUGAAUGCACCAAAGCCUUGCAAACCGCACUUUUGAACUUAGCAAAGAUGAGUUGGUUUGUUCUGUUAUUUUAAUUCUUUGCUGGUUUUUUUUUUUUCCCAUCAACUCAUCAAAAACUCAAGGAAUCAUGGGUCUGCAUUCCAUGGGGAUCGUAACCUUUUCUGUUUUGUGUACCCUGUAAUCAUGGUGAACAAGUAAAUGCUAAAAGUCAAAUGAG